rnacentral:rRNA from 1 species
UUCCUCCUACGGGGGGCAGCAGUAGGGAAUCUUCCACAAUGGACGAAAGUCUGAUGGAGCAACGCCGCGUGAGUGAAGAAGGGUUUCGGCUCGUAAAGCUCUGUUGGUAGUGAAGAAAGAUAGAGGUAGUAACUGGCCUUUAUUUGACGGUAAUUACUUAGAAAGUCACGGCUAGCUACGUGCCAGCAGCCGCGGUAAUACGUGGGUGGCAAGCGGUGUCCGGAUUUAUUGGGCGUAAAG